UACGUAGGGUGCAAGCGUUGUCCGGAAUUAUUGGGCGUAAAGAGCUCGUAGGCGGUUUGUUGCGUCGGCUGUGAAAUCCCGAGGCUCAACCUCGGGUCUGCAGUCGAUACGAGCAAACUAGAGUGUUGCAGGGGAGACUGGAAUUCCUGGUGUAGCGGUGAAAUGCGCAGAUAUCAGGAGGAAUACCCAUAGCGAAGGCAGCUCGCUGGGACGGUACUGACGCUGAGGCGCGAAAGCGUGGGGAGCAAACAGG
rnacentral:rRNA from 1 species